rnacentral:rRNA from 1 species
GCCGCGUGUGUGAAGAAGGUCUUCGGAUUGUAAAGCACUUUAAGUUGGGAGGAAGGGCAGUAAGUUAAUACCUUGCUGUUUUGACGUUACCGACAGAAUAAGCACCGGCUAACUUCGUGCCAGCAGCCGCGGUAAUACGAAGGGUGCAAGCGUUAAUCGGAAUUACUGGGCGUAAAGCGCGCGUAGGUGGUUUGAUAAGUUGGAUGUGAAAGCCCCGGGCUCAACCUGGGAAUUGCAUCCAAAACUGUCUGACUAGAGUAUGGCAGAGGGUGGUGGAAUUUCCUGUGUAGCGGUGAAAUGCGUAGAUAUAGGAAGG